GAUGAACGCUAGCGGCAGGCUUAAUACAUGCAAGUCGAACGGGAAUUGGGUAGCAAUACCUGAUGAUAGUGGCGCACGGGUGCGUAACGCGUAUGCAACCUACCUUUAACAGGGGGAUAGCCCGGAGAAAUUCGGAUUAAUACCCCAUAGUAUUAUGGAGAGGCAUCUUUUCAUGAUUAAAGUUCCGGCGGUUAAAGAUGGGCAUGCGUGCCAUUAGCUAGUUGGUGAGGUAACGGCUCACCAAGGCGACGAUGGUUAGGGGUCCUGAGAGGGUUAUCCCCCACACUGGUACUGAGACACGGACCAGACUCCUACGGGAGGCAGCAGUAAGGAAUAUUGGUCAAUGGGCGGAAGCCUGAACCAGCCAUGCCGCGUGCAGGAAGACGGCCUUAUGGGUUGUAAACUGCUUUUGUCAGGGAAUAAACCCUCGUUUGCGAACGAGGCUGAAGGUACCUGAAGAAUAAGCAUCGGCUAACCCGUG
rnacentral:rRNA from 1 species